GACGAAAGGGGGGGGCGUGCUUAACACAUGCAAGUCGAACGGAAAGGCCCUGCUUUUGUGGGGUGCUCGAGUGGCGAACGGGUGAGUAACACGUGAGUAACCUGCCCUUGACUUUGGGAUAACUUCAGGAAACUGGGGCUAUACCGGAUAGGAGCUCCUGCUGCAUGGUGGGGGUUGGAAAGUUUCGGCGGUUGGGGAUGGACUCGCGGCUUAUCAGCUUGUUGGUGGGGUAGUGGCUUACCAAGGCUUUGACGGGUAGCCGGCCUGAGAGGGUGACCGGCCACAUUGGGACUGAGAUACGGCCCAGACUCCUACGGGAGGCAGCAGUGGGGAAUAUUGCACAAUGGGCGGAAGCCUGAUGCAGCAACGCCGCGUGCGGGAUGACGGCCUUCGGGUUGUAAACCGCUUUCGCCUGUGACGAAGCGUGAGUGACGGUAAUGGGUAAAGAAGCACCGGCUAACUACGUG
rnacentral:rRNA from 1 species